rnacentral:rRNA from 1 species
GAUGAGCAUGCGUCCCAUUAGCUAGUUGGUAAGGUAACGGCUUACCAAGGCUACGAUGGGUAGGGGUCCUGAGAGGGAGAUCCCCCACACUGGUACUGAGACACGGACCAGACUCCUACGGGAGGCAGCAGUGAGGAAUAUUGGACAAUGGGCGCAAGCCUGAUCCAGCCAUGCCGCGUGCAGGAUGACGGUCCUAUGGAUUGUAAACUGCUUUUAUACGAGAAGAAACAUCCCGACGUGUCGGGACUUGACGGUAUCGUAAGAAUAAGGAUCGGCUAACUCCGUGCCAGCAGCCGCG